rnacentral:rRNA from 1 species
CACGUAGGGCGCAAGCGUUGUCCGGAAUUAUUGGGCGUAAAGAGCUCGUAGGCGGUCUGUCGCGUCUGCUGUGAAAACUCGGGGCUUAACCCCGGGCCUGCAGUGGGUACGGGCAGACUAGAGUGCGGUAGGGGAGACUGGAAUUCCUGGUGUAGCGGUGAAAUGCGCAGAUAUCAGGAGGAACACCGGUGGCGAAGGCGGGUCUCUGGGCCGUAACUGACGCUGAGGAGCGAAAGCAUGGGGGAGCGAACAGG